rnacentral:rRNA from 1 species
GAUGAACGCUGACGGAAUGCUUAACACAUGCAAGUCAACUUGAAUUUGGGUUUUUAACUUAGGUUUGGGUGGCGGACGGGUGAGUAACGCGUAAAGAACUUGCCUCACAGCUAGGGACAACAUUUGGAAACGAAUGCUAAUACCUAAUAUUAUGAUAAUAGGGCAUCCUAUAAUUAUGAAAGCUAUAAGCGCUGUGAGAGAGCUUUGCGUCCCAUUAGCUAGUUGGAGAGGUAACGGCUCACCAAGGCGAUGAUGGGUAGCCGGCCUGAGAGGGUGAUCGGCCACAAGGGGACUGAGACACGGCCCUUACUCCUACGGGAGGCAGCAGUGGGGAAUAUUGGACAAUGGACCGAGAGUCUGAUCCAGCAAUUCUGUGUGCACGAUGAAGUUUUUCGGAAUGUAAAGUGCUUUCAGUUGGGAAGGAACAAAUGACGGUACCAACAGAAGAAGUGACGGCUAAAUACGUG